UACGUAGGGUGCAAGCGUUAUCCGGAAUUAUUGGGCGUAAAGAGCUCGUAGGCGGUUUGUCGCGUCUGCUGUGAAAACUGGGGGCUCAACCUCCAGCCUGCAGUGGGUACGGGCAAACUAGAGUGCGGUAGGGGAGAUUGGAAUUCCUGGUGUAGCGGUGGAAUGCGCAGAUAUCAGGAGGAACACCGGUGGCGAAGGCGGAUCUCUGGGCCAUUACUGACGCUGAGGAGCGAAAGCGUGGGGAGCGAACAGG
rnacentral:rRNA from 1 species